GCCAGACCGCCCAGGGGGCCCAGCGACACCUGUAUUUGUGGAACACCGACGAACCAGGGGGCCAGCUCUGUGCAACUAGAACAACCAGAGCUCAAACCCAGGCUCUCAACGCCGCUGCCUGUAGCUAGUAGAGCAAGCCUGCCCAAGGAGUCCAGCGACCCCUCUACUUCUCAGACACAGACAGACCAGGGGGCCGGUUCUGAGCAUCUGCAACCACCAAAGCUCCAAUUCGGGUCCUCUACGCCGUUGCCUAUAGGUAGUAGACCCAGUUUGCCCAAGAAGCGCAAAAUGUCGCAUGUCAAAGCUUUGUACGUGGAGCGGCGCCCUUAUCCUAUUACGGCCAGACCGCCCAAGGAGCCCACCAACACCUCUGUGUCUGGGACCCGGACAGACCAAGGGGCCGGCUCUAUCAAUUGCCAAAAGCCAAAGCUCAAACCCAGGCUCUCGACGCUGCGGCCCAGUCCACAGUGAGCCGAGCUUUGAUUGCCCGGAGCUGCAAGAACGCCGUCAGAGGUGGCAAAACAGAAAUCCAUCUGACAGCAGACUACGAGAUACUGGAGGAAAACGCAACGACCUCUUGCCAGAGACGACCAACUCCUCGUCUGUCCACGACGUAGUCUAAACACCAUGAGCAUGAAGAUUUUCCAGCCGUGGCACUGCAAUCAGCCCAAACUUGCGCUGGGACAGGGACCAUCACAGGGAUGAUUCCAGCUGAGGGACCUUCUCCACGGCCUCCAUGGCCAGGAACCUCCCCUUGCUGGGACAAGAGCUGGGAAGCUGCCCUCAGAGCAACGUGGAGAAAACCUGCACAUCCCUGGAGGGGAAAGGAGAGGAUGCGACGGCAGCUGGGGAGAAAAAGAGAGCACCAUUUCCAUCCUGCUGGGCUGCGCUUUCACAACGGAACCUGCCAAUUAAAAUGAUUUUUCAAAGUG